rnacentral:rRNA from 1 species
AUUGAACGCUGGCGGCAUGCUUUACACAUGCAAGUCGAACGGUAACAGGCCGCAAGGUGCUGACGAGUGGCGAACGGGUGAGUAAUUCAUCGGAACGUGCCCAGUCGUGGGGGAUAACUACUCGAAAGAGUAGCUAAUACCGCAUACGAUCUAUGGAUGAAAGCGGGGGACCGUAAGGCCUCGCGCGAUUGGAGCGGCCGAUGUCAGAUUAGGUAGUUGGUGGGGUAAAGGCUCACCAAGCCAACGAUCUGUAGCUGGUCUGAGAGGACAACCAGCCACACUGGGACUGAGACACGGCCCAGACUCCUACGGGAGGCAGCAGUGGGGAAUUUUGGACAAUGGGCGCAAGCCUGAUCCAGCAAUGCCGCGUGCAGGAAGAAGGCCUUCGGGUUGUAAACUGCUUUUGUACGGAACGAAACGGCUCUGGUUAAUACCCGGGGCUAAUGACGGUACCGUAAGAAUAAGCACCGGCUAACUACGUG